rnacentral:rRNA from 1 species
CUGAGAAMCCGAARGUCGAAUGGGGAAAUUCAUUCGCGUUUCGAUUGUCGGCGAUGAGCGGUUGUGUGACUGACGGGGUACGCUUCGUUAGCACCUUCAGUUUUUCGAACCGACUUCGAACGCGUGCACUUUUCCCCUAGUAGGACGUCGCGAUCCGUUGGGUGUCGAUCUAAGGCCUGUGGUGGAGCUCGCGUGGACGUUUCGGCGUUCCGCACGAACCCACAGUGUCCCGAUCGACUCGCUCGACGGUAUAAAGAUGGMGCGGGGCCGCUACACAGUUAGCGUUCGGCCUACGGMAAGCACGUACGGUGUUUGAUGGCGAUCAGACCUAGUCGGAUCCCGUCCCCGGACGACUGUUGGCACGUAGUGUUCUCGAACAGACCUCGUUGAAACGCCGAUCUGCGACGCUACAGCUUUGGGUACUUUCAGGACCCGUCUUGAAACACG